AGUGGUUAGUCUAACCUUCGGGAGGACGAUCACCACGGUGUGGUUCAUGACUGGGGUGAAGUCGUAACAAGGUAGCCGUAGGGGAACCUGCGGCUGGAUCACCUCCUUAAACGAAG
rnacentral:rRNA from 1 species